CCUACGGGAGACAGCAGUGAGGAAUAUUGGUCAAUGGCCGUAAGGCUGAACCAGCCAAGUAGCGUGAAGGAAGAAGGAUCUAUGGUUUGUAAACUUCUUUUAUAGGGGAAUAAAGGUAUCCACGUGUGGAUUUUUGCAUGUACCCUAUGAAUAAGCAUCGGCUAACUCCGUGCCAGCAGCCGCGGUAAUACGGAGGAUGCGAGCGUUAUCCGGAUUUAUUGGGUUUAAAGGGUGCGUAGGUGGUUUUUUAAGUCAGUGGUGAAAGUUUGUGGCUCAACCAUAAAAUUGCAGUUGAAACUGGAAGACUUGAGUGUGUUUGAGGUAGGCGGAAUGCGUGGUGUAGCGGUGAAAUGCAUAGAUAUCACGAAGAACUCCGAUUGCGAAGGCAGCUUACUAAACCAUAACUGACACUGAAGCACGAAAGCGUGGGGAUCAAACAGGAUUAGAUACCCCAGUAGUC
rnacentral:rRNA from 1 species